rnacentral:rRNA from 1 species
UGCCAGCAGCCGCGGUAAUACGGAGGGUGCAAGCGUUAUCCGGAAUCAUUGGGUUUAAAGGGUUCGUAGGCGGAUUUAUAAGUCAGAGGUGAAAUCCUGCAGCUCAACUGUAGAAUUGCCUUUGAUACUGUAAGUCUUGAGUUGUAUUGAAGUAGUUAGAAUGUGUAGUGUAGCGGUGAAAUGCAUAGAUAUUACACAGAAUACCAAUUGCGAAGGCAGAUUACUAAGUACAUACUGACGCUGAUGAACGAAAGCGUGGGGAGCGAACGGGAUUAGAAACCCCGGUAGUCC